rnacentral:lncRNA from 13 species
UCAGGUCUGGGAAUGCUUCGUUUGCCUGGAAGUGGGUGGGUGCUGAGCUGGGAGAGUCACUGCUUGGCUGAAGAGCUGGAACCGGCACCUUCUCAGUCCCGUCCCACUCCAGCCCCACUGAAAUCCUGGGAAUGCUGCAGCACUUCAAGACAGCAAAAACAUCCCGUUCACUUCAGGGCCCCGGGCAGGGGAGAACUGCCUCCUCUCUUGGUUUCAUGGGGUAUUUUUUGUGGUCCGUCCAGGGAGCCAGCAGGGGCUGCCCCGAACCCGAGACCUUGGAGAAGCUAAACCAACACGAGAAAGGACACCAAAACCCACCAGCUUCGCCUGCUGUGAGGAGGAGACCAGCACCAGAAAGGUUCCCAUCUAUCCUGCACGAGCGGCUCUACUAUCUUGCUGUUAAUGGCCCAUCAUUGUCCUGCCGCAUGACUCAGAGAUAACUCCCUCCUGACUAUCUUCUGUUAAUGAGCCUAAUCAACACUUGGCCUCAUGACUCAUGACCCCAUUGUGAGAUGCUCCACCCAGAGGGGGGAACCAAGCAUCCCAUCGUGGAUAUACUCUGAGACUCUGAACACCAGAAACAACCCUUCCACUGGAUUUCCAGAGGACAGGAGCUACACAGCCACCACUGGACCUGAGGAAGAGCAGACCCUUUUCUACAGGAUCACCGCUUCAGAGGACUGCAGCCACCAUUCUACCAGACUGCUACCACCACCCUGAUUAACAGGGAGUGAAGUUGUAUCUUGACUCUGUCAGUUUGAACCAGUGUUUUCUGCCUUUAUUUUUGUUUCCCCAUUAAAUUGUUAUUCUGACUUGGUGUCUCCCACUACUUUGUUUUCAAACUAGUACAGAAUAUAAAAGCAAACCUUUACUUGGAAACUUUCAGGUACGCAACAUGGAGAAAAUCACAUGUGGUACAGUAAGUCUGCAACUUUUAUAAGGUUGGUCAAUUAGCGUAUCCAUCGUUUAUGGUCCAAUUAAAAUGUUCUUUGUUUAGGUAAUAAUUUUUGGGGUCCUGCCCCACUGGAAGCGGUCUAGAGGCUUCUUUUGCCCCACUUUUGUUAUGUCUGGUCCAGAUUUUGGUUAGAAAAAAGAACAUCCUUGUAGCUGGUUCUCUUCUUGGAGUAAGACUAAACAGCAUUUUAGGAAUGUGUUUCUAAGGUCAGCUUAUUGUUCCUAAAUGUAAGGAAGAAAGACAGGAAAAGUGCUAGAAGCUACAGCCAUGCAUUAGCAAUCUACAAAGCUACAAAUGUAUGAAAAAUAUCUAAAGCUAAAAAUCUUUGCCUUCACUAUAAUUCCCUGACUUCUGG